rnacentral:tRNA from 2 species
CGGGGCGUAGCGCAGUCCGGUAGCGCGUCUGGUUUGGGACCAGAAGGUCGCCGGUUCGAAUCCGGCCGCCCCGACUA